UACAGAGGGUGCGAGCGUUAAUCGGAAUUACUGGGCGUAAAGCGUGCGUAGACGGCUAUCUAAGUCGGGUGUGAAAGCCCCGGGCUUAACCUGGGAAUGGCAUUUGGGACUGCAAGGCUUGAGUGCGGCAGAGGAGACUGGAAUUCCUGGUGUAGCAGUGAAAUGCGCAGAUAUCAGGAAGAACACCCGUGGCGAAAGCGGCUCUCUGGAACGGUACUGACGCUGAGACGCGAAAGCGUGGGGAGCGAACAGG
rnacentral:rRNA from 1 species